UACGGAGGGAGCUAGCGUUGUUCGGAAUUACUGGGCGUAAAGCGCACGUAGGCGGCUUUGUAAGUUAGAGGUGAAAGCCCGGGGCUCAACCCCGGAAUUGCCUUUAAGACUGCAUCGCUUGAAUCCGGGAGAGGUGAGUGGAAUUCCGAGUGUAGAGGUGAAAUUCGUAGAUAUUCGGAAGAACACCAGUGGCGAAGGCGACUUACUGGACACAUAUGACGCUGAGGUGCGAAAGCGUGGGGAGCAAACAGG
rnacentral:rRNA from 1 species